GUGGGGAAUAUUGCACAAUGGGCGAAAGCCUGAUGCAGCGACGCCGCGUGAGCGAUGAAGUAUUUCGGUACGUAAAGCUCUAUCAGCAGGGAAGAUAAUGACGGUACCUGACUAAGAAGCACCGGCUAAAUACGUGCCAGCAGCCGCGGUAAUACGUAUGGUGCAAGCGUUAUCCGGAUUUACUGGGUGUAAAGGGAGCGUAGGCGGCGUGGUAAGUCAGAAGUGAAAGCCCGGGGCUCAACCCCGGGACUGCUUUUGAAACUAUCAUGCUAGAGUGUCGGAGAGGUAAGUGGAAUUCCUAGUGUAGCGGUGAAAUGCGUAGAUAUUAGGAGGAACACCAGUGGCGAAGGCGGCUUACUGGACGAUAACUGACGCUGAGGCUCGAAAGCGUGGGGAGCAAACAGGAUUAGAUACCCCAGUAGUCC
rnacentral:rRNA from 1 species